rnacentral:rRNA from 1 species
CAGCCGCCGCGGUAAUACGGAGGGUGCAAGCGUUAAUCGGAAUUACUGGGCGUAAAGCGCACGCAGGCGGUCUGUUAAGUCAGAUGUGAAAUCCCCGAGCUUAACUUGGGAACUGCAUUUGUGACUGGCAAGCUAGAGUCUGGCAGAGGGGGGUGGAAUUCCGCGUGUAGCAGUGAAAUGCGUAGAUAUGCGGAGGAACACCGAUGGCGAAGGCAGCCCCCUGGGCCAACACUGACGCUCAUGCACGAAAGCGUGGGGAGCAAACAGGAUUAGAUACCCCGGUAGUCCCUGUCUCUUAUAC